UCUUUGUUUACAGAUUCCGACGUAAGCAGAUGCUGCAGAUCUAUAAUACAAAACUAAAACAAUGUAAAAGAAACAAGAACAAGUUCUAUGUUGAUAUAAAUUGAACGAUUCCAUUAUAUGUAUAUAAUAGGGUAACUUGUAGGCAAUACUGCUGGAACUGGAGCUCGCCUGUCAAUCAAAACGUAAAAUAAUUCACCGUAAAAUUACCAAGUUAACUCAAACAAAUGAUUGAUCCUAAAACAAUAUUAAGAAAUAUAUAAAUUCUGCAUCUACGAGACAAUAAUCACGACAAACUAAGCAUUAUUCUCAAUAAAAUUGAAAUAGGAGUUGGAGAAAAAUGUUACCGGGCAUUAUUUUGAUGCGACGAAUGGGCACGAUCUCUGUGUGAAAUGGGUGCUCCACCACCCUUCCUAUUAAGGCUCCGCUGCGGCGGCUGUUGAAUAACCCUCUCCAGCAAGACGUUGUCCCCCGAUAUUGAUGAAAGAGAUGGCCGCCAAUCAAUAACCCCAAAACGCCUCUCCUUGGCGGCCCUUCCUCACUUCCGCCCUACGCGGGGCCGAGCUUCUGGCGCCACCAGCAAUCUCCUUCUCCGGCGGCUGCUGCUGAGCCCCUGACCCACUAUAGCAAGAACCAUAACACAAGAAGAACUUCAUAAUUAUACACAAAACACCCAAUAGCAACAAAGAUUAGGAACAACCUAUGAGUAAUUAUAUUAUCUACGAAAAAUAGUGAUUAGUGUUAACCAUUUGAUUUAUCUUUUCUGCUUUUGUGCGUGUUUCAUCUGUG
rnacentral:lncRNA from 1 species